ACCCGCGGUGCAUUAGCUAGUUGGUGAGGUAACGGCUCACCAAGGCCACGAUGCAUAGCCGACCUGAGAGGGUGAUCGGCCACACUGGGACUGAGACACGGCCCAGACUCCUACGGGAGGCAGCAGUAGGGAAUCUUCGGCAAUGGACGAAAGUCUGACCGAGCAACGCCGCGUGAGUGAAGAAGGUUUUCGGAUCGUAAAACUCUGUUGUUAGAGAAGAACAAGGAUGAGAGUAGAACGUUCAUCCCUUGACGGUAUCUAACCAGAAAGCCACGGCUAACUACGUGCCAGCAGCCGCGGUAAUACGUAGGUGGCAAGCGUUGUCCGGAUUUAUUGGGCGUAAAGCGAGCGCAGGCGGUUUCUUAAGUCUGAUGUGAAAGCCCCCGGCUCAACCGGGGAGGGUCAUUGGAAACUGGGAGACUUGAGUGCAGAAGAGGAGAGUGGAAUUCCAUGUGUAGCGGUGAAAUGCGUAGAUAUAUGGAGGAACACCAGUGGCGAAGGCGGCUCUCUGGUCUGUAACUGACGCUGAGGCUCGAAAGCGUGGGGAGCGAACAGGAUUAGAUACCCUGGUAGU
rnacentral:rRNA from 1 species